rnacentral:rRNA from 1 species
GGUAUCAGAAGUGCGAAUGCUGACAUAAGUAACGAUAAAGCGGGUGAAAAGCCCGCUCGCCGGAAGACCAAGGGUUCCUGUCCAACGUUAAUCGGGGCAGGGUGAGUCGACCCCUAAGGCGAGGCCGAAAGGCGUAGUCGAUGGGAAACGGGUUAAUAUUCCCGUACUUGGUGUUACUGCGAAGGGGGGACGGAGAAGGCUAUGUUGGCCGGGCGACGGUUGUCCCGGUUUAAGCGUGUAGGUGUGUGUUCCAGGUAAAUCCGGUUCACUUUAACACUGAGGCGUGAUGACGAGGCACUACGGUGCUGAAGCAACAAAUGCCCUGCUUCCAGGAAAAGCCUCUAAGCAUCAGGUAACAUCAAAUCGUACCCCAAACCGACACAGGUGGUCAGGUAGAGAAUACCAAGGCGCUUGAGAGAACUCGGGUGAAGGAACUAGGCAAAAUGGUGCCGUAACUUCGGGAGAAGGCACGCUGACACGUAGGUGAAGUGAUUUACUCAUGGAGCUGAAGUCAGUCGAAGAUACCAGCUGGCUGCAACUGUUUAUUAAAAACACAGCACUGUGCAAACACGAAAGUGGACGUAUACGGUGUGACGCCUGCCCGGUGCCGGAAGGUUAAUUGAUGGGGUCAGCGCAAGCGAAGCUCCUGAUCGAAGCCCCGGUAAACGGCGGCCGUAACUAUAACGGUCCUAAGGUAGCGAAAUUCCUUGUCGGGUAAGUUCCGACCUGCACGAAUGGCGUAAUGAUGGCCAGGCUGUCUCCACCCGAGACUCAGUGAAAUUGAACUCGCUGUGAAGAUGCAGUGUACCCGCGGCAAGACGGAAAGACCCCGUGAACCUUUACUAUAGCUUGACACUGAACAUUGAGCCUUGAUGUGUAGGAUAGGUGGGAGGCUUUGAAGCGUGGACGCCAGUCUGCGUGGAGCCGACCUUGAAAUACCACCCUUUAAUGUUUGAUGUUCUAACGUGGACCCGUAAUCCGGGUUGCGGACAGUGUCUGGUGGGUAGUUUGACUGGGGCGGUCUCCUCCUAAAGAGUAACGGAGGAGCACGAAGGUUGGCUAAUCCUGGUCGGACAUCAGGAGGUUAGUGCAAUGGCAUAAGCCAGCUUGACUGCGAGCGUGACGGCGCGAGCAGGUGCGAAAGCAGGUCAUAGUGAUCCGGUGGUUCUGAAUGGAAGGGCCAUCGCUCAACGGAUAAAAGGUACUCCGGGGAUAACAGGCUGAUACCGCCCAAGAGUUCAUAUCGACGGCGGUGUUUGGCACCUCGAUGUCGGCUCAUCACAUCCUGGGGCUGAAGUAGGUCCCAAGGGUAUGGCUGUUCGCCAUUUAAAGUGGUACGCGAGCUGGGUUUAGAACGUCGUGAGACAGUUCGGUCCCUAUCUGCCGUGGGCGCUGGAGAACUGAGGGGGGCUGCUCCUAGUACGAGAGGACCGGAGUGGACGCAUCACUGGUGUUCGGGUUGUCAUGCCAAUGGCACUGCCCGGUAGCUAAAUGCGGAAGAGAUAAGUGCUGAAAGCAUCUAAGCACGAAACUUGCCCCGGGAUGAGUUCU